GACGAACGCUGGCGGCGUGCUUAACACAUGCAAGUCGAACGAAGUGGCGAACGGGUGAGUAAAGCGUAAUCAACCUGCCCUUCAGAGGGGGACAACAGUUGGAAACUACUGCUAAUACCGCAUACUGAAGGAGGGGCUUGCGUCUGAUUCGCUAGUUGGGGGGGUAACGGCCCACCAAGGCGAGGAUCAGUAGCCGGCCUGAGAGGGUGACCGGCCACAUUGGGACUGAGACACGGCCCAGACUCCUACGGGAGGCAGCAGUGGGGAAUCUUCCGCAAUGGACGAAAGUCUGACAGAGAAACGCCGCGUGAGUGAGGACGGCUUUCGGGUUGUAAAACUCUGUUAUUCGGACGCGGUACCGGAAUAGAAAGCCACGGCUAACUACGUGCCAGCAGCCGCGGUAAUUC
rnacentral:rRNA from 1 species